rnacentral:rRNA from 1 species
UACGGAGGGGGCUAGCGUUGUUCGGAAUUACUGGGCGUAAAGCGCACGUAGGCGGCUUUGCAAGUCAGAGGUGAAAGCCCGGGGCUCAAUCCCGGAAUUGCCUUUGAGACUGCAUCGCUAGAAUUGUGGAGAGGUAAGUGGAAUUCCGAGUGUAGAGGUGAAAUUCGUAGAUAUUCGGAAGAACACCAGUGGCGAAGGCGACUUACUGGACACAUAUUGACGCUGAGGUGCGAAAGCGUGGGGAGCAAACAGG